rnacentral:lncRNA from 1 species
UCUUGGACUUUUCAGCCUUCAAAACUGUGAAAACCAAUUCUAUUAAUUUAUAAAUUACCUAGUCUGUGAUAUUUUGUUAUAGCAGCACAAAUGACUAAGAUACUUGGACAGCUUAAGAUGUCAAUAAACUCCCAAAAAGAAGGAAUUCGUAAGGACCACAUUGGAUGCAGCAGAUAUAAAUGACCAGACACACAUCAAGUACACCUCAGCCGGGCGAUACAGUAAAGAAAAGGAAGGACAUUUUGUAUAGCCUGUAAGAGAGCAACAAAUAUUAAGAAGAAAAAAUGAAAUGCAACAGGAAAAGGGGUAAGGAAAUACUGGAAGAGCAUCUUUAAAUGGGGAUGGUAGGAGGGGUCCCAUGGAAAGAUCUUUGAGAGGCGGAGGUCCUUUGAUCCCAGUGAAUUUGAAUUUUCCAUCUGCUCUGCAUGGACAUUCUUGGGGAGUCUUGGAGAAACCCUAAGAGCAGUACACAUUGCUACCUUACCUUAUAAUACAUAUUUAAUGGAUUAUGUAAAACUUGAAAAUAAAAAUGAAGAGUGCAAUGCUCAGUCCUGGAAUUAUGUGUGGGUCCGUGAGGCCAAGGUUCCCGGCUGUUUUUCAGCUAAACAGUGCGUGGGAAGGACAAGUGAUCUGCUUCCGGACAGUCCAGUAGGAGGAAAUGAACAUUUCAGCCCAGCUCGUUGGUGUCUUCCAGGAAAGCACCAGUGAUCUCUUGAACAAAUAGCAUGCCUUGUUCUAAAGUUUGUUGUGAAGUUUACCCAAAGGGAAGAUCUGACAGGAUGUCUAGUGUUUUACUAACUACCUCCAUUAGUCAUUGUUGCUGCUAGGUCAAGCAAUGUGGGUUUUGUGGGAAACCUCUAAAGCUUUGAAGGGGCCUGCGCUUCUUUGUUCUUUUUCUUUACAUGUAUGUGACUUUGGGCCAGAAAAUUUAUUUCUGUCCCUUAAAUAUCUUUUUAUUCCUGAUCUGUUGAAUGAAAGACACAGGAACCUAUUGGACAGUAAGAUCUAUUACCUAAAUUGGUAAACUCUGAGCUUCUUGAGGGUAGGAAUUAUGGCUUAUUCAUAUUUGAAUCUAACUCAGAAGCUAUAACCAUGACUUGCAUGUUGUAGUUGUGCAAUACAUGUCUGUUACAAGCUGAAUAAAUGUGAUUUUUCCAUGUGGCUACUUUAGGAAUAAUGGACACACAAAAAGGAUACCAUGGAAAGUAUUCUCAUAUGUGCACAGUAUGCAUCCUUAGCCCAAGAAAGUAUAAGCCCAUCAACUACAACUUUUAUUUUAAAAUAGGCAAGAAAAUCUAAUAUGCCAGAUCAUCUUUCACUGAAUUUGAGAGUAGAAUAAAAAUAAGUAACCAAAUAGCAAGCAAUAAAGUUUACUUCUAUUACUGUUUUGAUUCUUAGUAUUCAUUUUUACUUCAGACAAAAACUUUUCCUUUACAUAAUAGGCAUAAUUAUUAGCAGAAAAUUAUAUUUAGGGAGGAAGUUAACACCUGCAAACCCAAACCACAAAAUGUUUGGUGGGCUUUACAAAUAAAUAAUUUUGUUCACCUCUCUUAGUGAGCCAUUUGCCCCCAUAUUUUGCAGUUUUUCUUUUCUUAUUUUUAAUGUGCAAAAGUUAGUAAAUGUUGGAAACAAAAACGUGAAGGCUCACUUAUGUUUUGCUUUUUAAAAUGGGAAAAUGAGAAUGGAAAUUAAAGAGCAGUGGAUCACUGUUUUGUCUGCCCUGGUUCCUCUGAAACUUCCUGUAAUUUUUUUUUUCCCAAGUACUGAGUGAAGAGUUAUGUCUGACACUCUGGAGAAAAAUGUUACUAACAUAGGGAUGACACUGAAAUACUCAGGCAACAGUUAUCUGAGUGUAUUUGUCAUUUUAAGUAGAAUCUGGCAGUAAUUCAUCUAUAUCUACAACAAAAAUGUGCAGGUUUUGGGAAGAAGUGAGCUUUUAAAAAAAGUCAUAUUUCCUUUUGUCUCUGAAAGACUGAAUGUUUUCAGUACUACGGCUAAUAAAAUUAGUUUGUGGCAUUUCUCCACUUUCUUAUAGAAAUAGCCACACUUACCUACUCUGACCAAUCCUAAAUGUCUUUUCUGUGUUUAUUUAUUUCUAGCAUUGGGGUUAAGGUAGGAAUACAGUAGACAAAAGUAACUUUAUUUGAUUGCAAAAUGAAGUUUCAGAUGGAAAAACUCUAAAAAACAACAACAAAAAAGAAAUUUAUGCUCAAUAGUUUCAAUUGUCCUUGGGGAAAAGUCAAUUAUCUGCAUAUAUUAUAUAACCUUUUUACGAUCUGGCCCUGCUGACCUGUCAGGCUUGCUCCUUGAUGCUUCAAUGACAUUGAAGUGCUGACAGUUCUCUGAAAUUCUUCCACCUUGCCUGACUCCUCCGUCUUUUUUACCUGGCCAAUUCGCAUGCAUUUUUCAGGUCUUAAUGAGAUGUCACAAUCUCUGGACAGCCUCCCCUGAUUCCCCAAGCCUGGGGUAAACUUCGUGUACCACCAAAGCAUCCUGUAACCUCUGUCAUAUCACAUUAUUCAUAAGUUCUAUGGAGGCAGAGGGUGUAUGGUCUGCACUUCACCCAGCCACAUUUAGCCCAGUACUUAGGAUUCAGUAAGGCCAAAGCAAACACACAUUAAGUAAAGAACAAAAACUUGAAGUGCAAACAACUCUAGUCACUGAAUUGAUAAAUAGUGUCUCUUGCUGUACUAUAAGCUCUAUCAGUGGAGGAACCGUGUCUGUUUUUCUCACCAUUUUAUCCUCUGUGUUUAUCACAGUGCUUUACACAUAGGAGCUGCUCAGUAAAGAGGGGUUUAAUGAGUGAAUUAAUUGACCAUAGUUAUAUCAGUGUCUUUAAGAUAAAUACUAGGAAAGAAUAGUUAUUUAAAAUUUAAACGAAGUCACCUUGUGUCCAUUUUUCCCAGGUGUGACAGACUGGUUAUUUACUACAAACUUUCUUUUACAUUUGAUUUGUUACAUGACUUCAGUUAGAUCAGAUUUUCUCAAGCUUGGGACUGAUGACAUAUGGACUGGAUGAUUUUUUGGUGUGCAUGUGUAUUUAUGUAUGUUUGGGGGGUGUAGGCUGUUGAGCAGCAUCCCUCGCUUCUACUAAUUAGAUACCAAUAGCACAUCCUUCAUACACAGCUGUGACAAAUGGAAAUCUCUCCAGACUUUAUAUGUAUUUGAGAACCAUAGAGGAUGCAUGUUUGUGUAGAGGGAUUUGUUGAGCAAUUCAUAUUUGUGUCAAGAGAUAGCUUAUUAGGUUAAGGAUAGCAAUUUUUGUUUUUAAGAGAAAAAAAUCUCUGUACAGCCUUGUAUGGUCAAUAUACCUGACAGCAAUAACUUAAGCACAGCCUGAGAAUGACCCUGUAUGGCAGAUGCACCUGAAUGAGGGUUUAGCGUUCCGAGCUAAGGAAUCUGUGAGUAGCCAACCUGGAGAGUCAUUCCUUACCAAUUAGAAACAUCUGAGCCCCUCUCCCCCACCCCAGCCCAUCGCAUGGAAUGAGAGCCAUGCAGGGGAUUGAGGCCCUUUGUUUUGAGUUUAAUGAACGUUGCCAGGUGGAGGUUGUUGGGGGAGGGUGCUCAGUGAAGGUGCUGUAUAAACUGCAUGCUUUUUUCAAGCGGUUGCAGUUCUCCUGUCCAUCACACUGCCACUGGACUGCCCCUCUAUGUAAGUUUCAGGCUAGUAAAACCCUGUGUAUCCUUUGCUGUUUCUGAGUCUCUUUUUUGGACUCUUGAACCUGGUGCCAUCCCUACUGAAGUUAAUAGGAGUCUGGCACAAUAAGGGUCUGGGCUGUGUGUAAAAAGCAGAGCUUGUGCUAUGAUUGUGUAGUUGAGUCCAAAAGCAGAGUCAGGGGAUAGGUGAGGGUGGGAUUCUGCAGCCCGAGCCACCCCCCAGGUCACCUGCCCUCAAAUGCCAAUGCCUUUAUCUGGAGGAAGGGCAUCGUUUCUCCAAUGUAUCUUUCCCAGUGGAGGUAUCCGUUCUAUUUCAUCCCUUCAACACUAGCAGUGGCCUUGGUUAGAAUUAUUGUACUUAUCAUUUUGCCAAGUUUUUGUUGUUGUACCUUUAUGAUUGCUAAUGGUGAAACCUGGUUCCACUCUUCCACAGCCUCCAUUCAAAGGAAACUUUAUGACGUGGUAUUUUUGAUAGAAUUAAAGAAAUCUCUGACUAGCCAAAUAAGAAAAGAGAUUAGCAUACUUAGCUAUGUGCUCUGUAUCAGCUUGGGUCCCUGGGUCAUAGAUAUGUGAGUUACAUGAUUUACUUUGAGUAAGGCUCAGAUUUUUUAAAUCUAAGCUAACCUAUUUUUAUUGAAUUAAGUUUAUAGGUCAGGAAAUCUUGAUUGGCUUUCUGGGAUGCAAUCUUCUUAGCUUCUCACAGGACUUAGAGAAUGCAACUAUGAAGACCCCUACAAUUUGCUUUUGAAAAAAUAUUCAGGUUCAUUUGCUUUUGAGAAAGGCUUGUGAACUAUUUAGACCUUUACAGCAUGAACACAAAGUUGAAAAUAACACAAGGGAGGAAAUCCUCAUGAGGUUUCUGGUACUUCCUGCCAUGGUCAGGCCAUAAAUAACAUGAAAGAAUCAUGCCUUUGGUAUUUGAGCACUUCCAUGUUCAGUGGUAAAGACAACUGGAAGUGCAGAGGUGUGAGAAAAAUGUAGAAUUUCCAUAAUGAGCAUGAACUGGAAUUAUGGUUUGGGAUUUGUGUAAACUCUGGACUUUGCCAUUAAGACCCAAAUUUUUGUUCCACUGAGAACUUCUCCUCCAGCCUUUGCUAGUUGCUCUGUCAUGUGAAUCGAUGGAAAUAUAAAUUAUUUAAUUGAAGCUUGUAAUGCGUGUACACAGACUUAAAGUUUCUCUGAAGCCUAUCUCAAAAAUAUAUGGCAGUACUGACCAUUUUUAUACGAAUAUUUAAAAAGUAGUAUUGAUAUAACAAAAGGGUGGUAUUGAUCUAGAAAAGGAUGUUAUUGGUAGUUGUUCCAAAAAAAAACUCAACUAGAUGCACCUAUAUAUACCUAACAAAGCAAUACCAAAUGCCAGUGCUAUUGCAGGUCUAAGAAAACUAACAAGGAAAUAAUUGUUCAGAUUUUUUCAUUGAGUUGUCUAACAUAAGUUUAAGUCGACUCAUUUCUGGCUACGAUAACAUUUUAACAUUGGUCCCAGUUCCUGAGCCUAGGAAAGAAUAGCAGGUCUUUGUGCCUUAAUGAAUAUCAUGCCUAGAGCUGACUACUAAUGCAAAUCUAUUAUUAGAGGUUGAAGUGAGCCAAUUGAUAUGAUCUUAGUGAUCAGAAAAUAAUUGUGGAAUUAGUGUCAAAAAAUGUGUGUGUGUGACUUUAAUAUUUAUGUCUGAACUUGUAUCCAAGGCAUUGAUAGAAACCCGUGAAAGGUAACUGAUACAGUCAACGUCUUUCCCUUUCAAGCCCCCAUCGUUUUCCUUACCAGAUACUCUCCUUUCUCCUGAGCUUCUAUCCUGUGAAAAGUCCUAUUUAAGGGUACCUAUUAUAAUUCUGCCCAAAGUAUCUGCAGAUAAGACUUUAUGCCCCUAAUAUUAGAGACACUGGACUCUAGGAAGCCUUUUCCUAGAAGGCAAAGUGGUGAGUUUGGUGUUGUGAACCAGCAAAUGAAGAGUCAGGAGGUCGGCCUGGACCCCUAUAAAUCAGAUGGCAGAGGCCAUCUCAUGAGAUGGGCCUUGCCCCUUGGAACUCUUUUUAAGUCAAAUAUCUAAAUAUUUGCAUGCCUUCCCAAGUUACUUCUGUUAAUUUUUACAUUUUUACAAAAAGAAAAUUAGCCAAAACAAUACUAAAAAUAGCCACUGGCCUAUUGGCCUACAUAAGUGAUAAUUGGUGGUAUUUAUGUGGGAAAAAGAGACCCUUUCUACCCUUUAUUCCUAACAGAAAGAAAUUAAUUUGCAAGCUCUAUACAAAAGCAAAUACCUAUUAAGGAGAGAAAAGCAAGAAGGUAAUAUAUCACUUGGCACAUAUUUUGCUUAAUUAUUAUAUGCUUUUUUCUUUCUGUAUCUGUCUCAUUUUAGUGAAGAAAACAAUUUGGUGGUAGCUUGCUUUGAAAUAGGUCCCACAGCUUUUUGUUGUUUUCUUCCAACUCCCCUUUGCUUCAGUUAGUUUCACUCAGCAGCUUAUUAUCACUUAAACUAUCUUCUGGUCAACUAUUUAUCGUUAUUAACCUUGCUUUUCCAGAGUUAUAUUGUCCAGUAUGAUGGAGCAGGUACAUCUGUGAAUGUGUUGAACCACAGUUUCCAAAGCCUUUCUACAUAGAGUAUUAACCUAUAGUUACAUGAGAUCAAAUGAUUAAGAUGGAAACAGACCUCCUCAGAUGUUCAAAAUUAUCAUUGGUGUAGUCUUUUGAUGAUCAGUAGUUGAAAAAAAAAUAACCCAAACCUCAGCCCAUUGCAAAUGUCAAGUAAUAAUUGUGGCAGAAUACAAGCACCUGAAUUCCGAGCACAAAGGAAGAAGCGUGUUGCCGAUAGCAUUAUAAAUGGCCAUUCUCUACUUCAGCUGUCGACCGUGUAGCAUAUAAUCACAGUGUAUGCUCCAGUUCUGAAGCAGUCGCAACUUACCUGAAAAGUGUAGCUUUCUGACAUUUUUCAAGAUAAAAGAAUAACAAGCAAAAAUGAACAUGAAAAUAUAAAUUCAUUUACUUUUAAGAAUACUGUAUGUUUUUGUAUGUGACUAAAUUAACAUACUCAGAAGUAUUUUUUUAAAACUCCCUUCCCCAGUAUGUAUUUUUUAAUGUGUUUGGAAAAUAUAACACAUGGUAAUAAUUUUAGAAGUUUGGCCACUUUAGCCCCUUACUUGACAGUCUGUCUCAGGCAGUUUGUGGAAUGCCUUCUUUCACAGUUCCUCCAUGACUUUCUCCUUGAGGGACCCAGUCAUACAUUAGGCAAAGGUGGAGAAGGAGGUUCCUUCUACCUUUAGUUAUUUGCCACAUUGAUUAACUUUGGUGCCACAAAUCCCUGUCAUUAGGUAAUCAGUAACAAGAUACAAUGAUAAUUUUAGAAUAAAAUACAUGAAUUCCAUUUGAGUCACUUCUUUGGGUUAAGGUUAUAAGAAGGCAUUGUUAAAACACACAUGUCUUACCCAGGCUGGAUAAGCCAUUGACACAUUUGAAUCCAUUAUAAAGAUGGUUUGGGUGAUUUUCUGAUUGCUAUCAUGAAAAGCAGAAAAAAGGAACUAGAGGGCCUUGAAUAAAAUUCAGUACAUUUUGUUAUGAGAUGAGAAGUAGUAGGAAGAAGGGAAAAGCUGCAUUGUGAAGUGAGAGCCUUUGUGGGUUGUCUGAGAGAAAACCGGGAGCCCUGAACAUGGAGAGGUUCACACUGAGUUGUUGGGAGAGGGCAGUGACAUACUGAAGUCAGCUUAUGACUGUGGUGUUUUUUGUAGAGCUGGCAGAGAAAGACAGGAAACUAUUUUUACGCAACUAGCCAGUUUUAGCUGUGUUAAUGGAAGAACUCUGUUUUUACUGUAAUAAUUAACAACAAAAAUGACUUACAUUAUCUAACCUUUUAAAAUUCAUAAGAUAGACUCAAAGUACCCUGAAGUGAAUGUAGCCAUGACUGUGGAAGGUAGUAUUACACCCCACAUUGGAGAAUAAAAUGAGGAAUAAAGCAAGUUUAACAGUCCAAGUUUUAUUAGCUAGGGGAAAAAAUUGGCUUCUUAUUUUUAAGUGUUCUUAUAUAUUAAAUUUUAAAUUAUUGUUAAGUAAAGCAAGUAGGAGAAGUACAGAAUCCCACUGUGUAGAGGAAACUACUAUUAAUACAUUAGUUGCAUCUUUCUAGUUCUUUGAAAAAUAUUUUUUAAAAAAUAUUAAGUAUGUAUUUGGUAUACAUUUUUGGCCAUGCAUUUUAAUCUAUUAUUAUAACUUCUUUUUCCCAUUUAACAACAAUUUUUUUGUGUGUGUAUACGAAUUUUUUUGUUUGUUUGUUUGUUUUAAAUCUCCUGCUAGUCACACCAUUGGUGAGGGAUGAAUCCAGGUUAUGGGAUGGCUGAAUACAUGGCACCCAACCUGGACAGAUGAGAUUGGUAGCAGUUUACUGGUGUCCUAAACUCGGAGCCCAGGGUAGGAGGACACUGUGCCAUGCAGGGCCACAUGAAGGUUACAAUCAAGAACGGUAUAAGUAAUAGGAACUGUGGGAGAUGGACUUUGUAGUAUUAAGAGGGAAGGUGUCCCCUGGUUCCCACAGGAGGAUGUCAUUGGCUUGCUUGUUUGAAUAAUUUUCUGCGGCUGGUGGGAAACUGAAAAGUUACUCAAGGCUAGGCAGAAACAACACCCAGCCUCCUCCCAUCUUGAUAAAGAGAUUUAAUAAGAUAAAGAGAUUGAUAAAGAGGUUUGGAUCUGGAACCUUAUCACUGGAGGCAGAGUGGGGAGGAUGACUUGUGGUUAUGACAUUUGAAGCCUUCCUGAUUUCACCAGACAUCAAGGUAGACAUAAUAUUGGACCUUAAUUUUAGACUUUACACCACAUUUUUAUGAAGAUGUAAUCUAUCAAUAAAUUGAAUUUUUGCAGGCAUUGAUAACAUAAUGUUCCAAUUCUUAUCUUUGGGUAAAAAGAUUUAUAUGGUUUUAAUAUUAAUAUUUUCAUAUUCAAUAUUAGGGCCUCAAGAGAAAAUAUUGUCAAGAGAAAUGAAUUGUUUUAUCUCUUGAUACAUAUUUUCAAAUGAUGUUGAAACAAAAUUUCUGACAUUUAAGUUUAAACCUUUUUACUAUACUAUAUUGCUUCUGCCAAUGAUUGUGACAAUGAAAUAAUCUUAAAGAAACUACCUUUUCAUUAAAUCACUGUCCAUAAAGUUUAUGUGACAGCUUACUUUGUGAUUAUAUUGGAAUAUAAGUGCUUUGAUUCACCAGGUUGGGGUUGGCAGAGUGAAAAUUAAGGCCAAACUUUACUCAACAAGAAUGACAUUUUAGUGAAACACUAGUACAAUUCUUGAGAGAAAAUAAAUCAGAAGUUUCAGUCAAAUCUCAACAUAAAUACAGGCCAAAUCUCUUUUAAAAUAAAUUCUUGUUUACCUGAAACUGAUCUCUUCUUAAAUAUUAAUAACUAAUAGUUUUAUUUCAAUUUAUAUUUCCUUGGAAUUAUACAUAUUGAAUUUCAAAAG